rnacentral:rRNA from 1 species
CGCGUAGGCGGUCUUAUAAGUCAGAUGUGAAAGCCCGGGGCUCAACCCCGGAAGUGCAUUUGAAACUAUAGGACUUGAGUAUGGGAGAGGGAAAUGGAAUUCCUGGUGUAGAGGUGAAAUUCGUAGAUAUCAGGAGGAACACCGGUGGCGAAGGCGACUUCCUGGACCAAUACUGACGCUGAGGCGCGAAGGCGUGGGGAGCAAACGA